CGCCUCUUGACAAAACAUAAGAGGUCCAGCCUGCCCAGUGACAAAGUUCAACGGCCGCGGUACCCUAACCGUGCGAAGGUAGCAUAAUCACUUGUUCUUUAAAUGAGGACUCGUAUCAACGGCACUACGAGGGCUAUACUGUCUCCUUUUUCUAAUCAGUGAAACUGAUCUCCCCGUGAAGAAGCCGGGGAUCAAAAUAUAAGACGAGAAGACCCCAUGGAGCUUUAAACCUCACCACGCACCUCUGUGUCCUCAUACCUUAAACACAAGAGAUCUAGCGUUCUAGUUUAGGUUGGGGACCACGGAGGUAUAACUUAACCUCCAUAACAAAUGGCUAACACCCUUAUCCAUGAGACACAGCUCUAAGAAUUACUAAACUAAUGCUUAUGACCCGAUAUUCGAUCAAUGAACCAAGUUACCCUGGGGAUAACAGGCGGAAUCUACUUCAAGAGCCCAUAUCGACAAGUAGGUUUACGACCUCGAUGUUGGAUCAGGGUAUCCCGGUGGUGGAACCGCUACCGAUGGUUCGUUUGUUCAACGAUUAAAACC
rnacentral:rRNA from 1 species